rnacentral:snRNA from 1 species
GGAUGUGAGGGGGAUCUGGCGUGGCGCCUGUCACCUGAGACCGUGUCCUGUGUCUCCUAUGCCGCUCACAAUGUGACAGGGUCCAUCGCCAGGGCUGAUUCGGCUGACCUGGCUGGCUAGGUGGGGGUCCCUUUGCUCCCUCGCGGCUCCAAGUGUGGCCCUCCCGAAGCUGCGUGCUCCAUCCAAGAGGACGACCUUCCCGAUAGAGGAGGUCCCAGUGGUCCCA